rnacentral:rRNA from 1 species
AAGCUCGUAGUUGAACCUCGGGAUCAAUGGGUCGGUCAUGCCAAUGGUAUGUACUGGCCUCAUUGGUUCUCACCUUCUAAGGAACCAUGAUGUCAUUCAUUUGAUGUUGUGGGGAAUUAGGACUGUUACCUUGAAAAAAUUAGAGUGUUUAAAGCAGGCUAACGCUUGAAUACAUUAGCAUGGAAUAAUGAAAUAGGACAUCGCAUUCUAUUUUGUUGGUUUCUAGGAUCGAUGUAAUGAUUAAUAGGGAUAGUUGGGGGCAUUAGUAUUCAAUUGUCAGAGGUGAAAUUCUUGGAUUUAUUGAAGACUAACUACUGCGAAAGCAUUUGCCAAGGAUGUUUUCAUUAAUCAAGAACGAAAGUUAGGGGAUCGAAGACGAUCAGAUACCGUCGUAGUCUUAACCAUAAACUAUGCCGACUAGGGAUCGGAUGAUGUUAAUUUUUUAAUGACUCAUUCGGCACCU